UAUUUUUUUUUUUAACACAUCAGAUAGGCUUCAACGUGUGGGCUUCGUCCAAAGUUUAUAUGUUAUUACAAUUGGGUUCCAUAAACACGAACAAAACCAAAAAAAAUUGUUUUGUGUUAUUUUAUUUGGGCUUUAUCAUGAUUUCUUCUAGGCCCAAUGUGUUGUCAGAGAAAACAAAAAUCAGUUUAGGUCAUAUGUCCGUCGUAAUCAUUUGAUGAAGCCGCACCCGAUGAACAUCCUGAAACGCCUUAAGUUUCCAUUUAUUUGAUCCAUUAAUCCCACCAUUAACAUGUUUAAUUCCACUAGCCCCACUACGUACCAUUAAAUCCAGCUGAGACUCUUCAUAUGUAACCGGCUAAAGCUCUCCUAUAAAUUGGCAUGGUUGCAGCGAUGAAGACCACCCUAUCUACGAAAACUACAAAUAUCAUCCCUGCUAAUUUCUUCACCCUGCUUGCGGAUUUGAAAGCCAGUCUCUGUUUGAGAUCCGACUGGUUCAGAUCAAAUGGUCUCGCUUCUUACUCUGCUCAACUCUUCAGCUUCGGGUCAAUUCAACUACCAGACCUUGAUUUCUAUUUUGAUAAUAGUUUAAAACCUUUUAUUUGUUGUGACUGUUUUUCCUUUCCUUUUGAUUUUAUUGUUCUGUUUUUUCUUAUUGUUCCCGUCAGACUUUCAAGAAAAGAGCACCCGAAGAACAAAUUCGUUGUUGUUGUGAGUGAUCCAUAUCUUAAAUCCAAGAGCCAGGGGAUAUCAUAGCUCCUAAUGGAGUGAGGGUGGUGCUAUGGCAAUGCAAGUGGAAUAUAAACGUAAAAAGAGAGCCCAUCUUUGAGUCUAAAGGUAAUUAUGCAUUGCUUACAUGAGACAUCGUCAUCACUCAUGGAACGAUCAUGAUCGGAGGCAUCAACAACUUUAUCAAGCACUCGAUCAAAAGAGCAGCCGAUGGAGAGUGGCGAGGAGGAGAACAAAGGCAAGUCCGACAAGGAAAGGAAAGAGGAGAUGGUCAUAUCCACGUUGCUUUGGUUGAAACCUGGAGCGAGAUGGAGGGAGCUGGGAUCUUUGACCGAAGAAGGGUCAUGGCAAGGUCGCUUGGGAUUGGGAGGAGCGUCCAUAACACGGACACGGAAUCAGAGAAUCCAAAGCUUUUCGCUUACAUUCAGCAGAGAUGGAAUUGUGAAAUUAGAGAGUAGACGCGAGUCGACUUUGAGAAUACGAUCAACGAACGAACGAGGCGAUCGAUCCUGAGUUAAAUUAUCUCCCUCGAAGAGACGAGGAGUCUCUGUCCUCUUUCGUCGCCGUCGUUCGAGGCGGGUAACGGUCAAGUGUGAUUCUGAUCGACGAAUUGGAUAAUCCGAAUCCUUAACCCGAUUGUUAUUUUGUGGAUUAAUUACUUGGACCACAAUAUUGAUUUUCAACUCCAUCGAAGCCCAACUAAAAUUUUCAAAGGGUAAAUACUAAAUAGUAAAUACUAUAAAAUAAAGUAGAUUAGUCUAUUUGUAUAAAAAAAUACAUUUGAACCAUUUGUAUAAGAAAAUACAUAAAUAUCUUAAUUUUGAAAAUAUUUUGAACUAUUUUUUUGAUAAAAAAUUUGAAAAAAUAUUAACAACUUAAUUUUUAAAAAUAUUAUAAAUUACUUUAACUAUUAAAUUAUAUAAAAUAAUUUAUAUAUAUAACAUUCAUCCCGCAAAACUACUAAUGAAAAUAACCGACAUUCCAUUUGAGCACCAUCAAUGUAACAGGCUGGUGUGGAUCCUAAAAUCGUUCUUGCCACAUGCAUAAAUCCAAGUGGUAUAUCCUUUCUGCUGCACAUGUUCUGUCUAUGAACUGUUCAUCUGAACAUCUUAUUGAUCUAAGUAGGCUCUGCUUGCAGGUCACCUAUUCCUUAAUGCAAACUAUGCGACUCAUUUCUACUUUGACAAUCAAAGCGGGGUCAGAGCUUCUCCCAUGAGUUGCGUGUUAGUGACGUCAAUUGGUCCUCAAGUUCAGUAAAGUAUGCAAGAGUCCAGAAAAUAUAACUAUGGAUGUAUGAUGUAUCCAGAAAAUAUAACAUGUAACCGUUUAAGAGAACGCCUACGUCCUUGCAUACCAAAACCUACCUUUCCUGAUGUAUUAACCUAAAAAAAUCUUUCAUUCUCACAUUUUUGACCUCAUGUUUUACAAUUUACUAAGUUUAUGGGCAUCGGCAAAGUUGCAGGCAUUAAAACCACAAACGGGUGAUGUGAGAUAUAAAUGUUGAGCCAAAGAAUGAACAAGCUCACAAAACUCUUUUAAGUACAAAUUGAAAAGCAGUAAGGUUCUCUGUUGUAGCUUUUUCUUCGGUGUAGUAAUAGUUUAUUGGUAUGUAAAAGAUUAUUCACAAACAAACAACAAAAGCAUAAAUCCAAAUGCAUCUUAGUUCAUAUACCUUUGUAAACAAACAAUUCUAACGAUACUCAAAAACUUAUAUCUACACUUUCUUCUGAAACAACUUUAAUCACAUCAUAUAAUUUUUAUGGAGGGUUUAUAAACAUGAGCAACUCAUAAGCCGCAUGAGCGCCUUCCAUAGGGUGGUUUAGUCUAGGGAUUGUUAACCACAAAGUCAACUAUAUUUGGUUCGAAGGUAAGAUGUAGGAACGAAACUGAAAACACUGAACUGAAGUAAAACCACGAUCUAGACAUGUUUAAUAUGGCUUGGUUGAAAACACCGAACUGAAGUAAAACCACAAUCUAAACUGAAAACAUUGUUUUGUUCUAAGAAAAUUAGUAUAUUUAACAAUAUUUUAUAUGAACCUUUUACAAGAUAAAAUAAUAUUAUGAUCAUGGGUCUGGUUAGUUUGGUUAUAAUGCAGAAAAUUUGUAGUAAGAAUUUAGUUUGUAGCUUUUAUCGAUGUAGUUGUAAGUUUUCUAGCUAUAGAAAAAUAUUAUAAAUUUUAUAAAC